AUAUUUAUAUUUAUAUUUAAAAGCAUAAUAUUGAAGAUAUUAGGAAGAUAAAUUUGAUUUAUUUAUA
rnacentral:tRNA from 1 species